GCAAACUUGGUCAUUUAGAGGAAGUAAAAGUCGUAACAAGGUUUCCGUAGGUGAACCUGCGGAAGGAUCAUUACUGAAGUGAUUUGGGGAUGUUGCUGGCCUCUCAAGGGGGGCAUUGUGCACUCCUCGAAACAAUUCACAAUUUCCAUCACACCCCUUGUGCACACCUUGUAGGAACCCCCAACCCGCCUCCGGGCGGCGGGGGGGUCCUAUGUAUUCCUUCAUCUCACACUUUGUUGAAUGGUGCCAUUGGGACGCAUCUAAAGGAUUAUUUGUAAAAAAGUAAUCAUAGAAACAACUUUCAACAACGGAUCUCUUGGCUCUCGCAUCGAUGAAGAACGCAGC
rnacentral:misc_RNA from 1 species